rnacentral:rRNA from 1 species
UACAGAGGUCUCAAGUGUUGUUCGGAUUCAUUGGGCGUAAAGGGUGCGUAGGCGGCGCGGUAAGUCGGGUGUGAAAUUUCGAGGCUUAACUUCGAAACUGCAUUCGAUACUGCCGUGCUAGAGGACUGGAGAGGAGACUGGAAUUUACGGUGUAGCGGUGAAAUGCGUAGAUAUCGUAAGGAAGACCAGUGGCGAAGGCGGGUCUCUGGACAGUUCCUGACGCUGAGGCACGAAGGCCAGGGGAGCAAACAGG